GAUGAAGAACGUAGCGAAAUGCGAUACGUAGUGUGAAUUGCAGAAUUCCGUGAACCAUCAAAUCUUUGAACGCAUAUUGCGCUCGAGGCUUCGGCCGAGAGCAUGUCUGCCUCAGCGUCGGUAUUACCCCUCGCUUCUCAACCCCUGGUUGAUGCCUGCCUGCCUUUGCAGUUGGCUAGAGGCGGAUCUGGCUUUCCCAAUUGCCUUUGGUAGUUGGGUCAGCUGAAGCACAGAGGCUUGAGCAAGGACCCUUAUUGGGCUUCAACUGGAUAGGUAGAACUGGUCUUAGGACCAACUACACGAAGUUGUUGCUUGUGGUCUUUGUCUGGAGGCCAGCAGGAAACCUUUAUACCUUCGACCUGAGCUCAGGCAAGAUUACCCGCUGAACUUAAGCAUAUCAAUAAGCGGAGGA
rnacentral:misc_RNA from 1 species